rnacentral:tRNA from 1 species
GGGCCCUUAGCUCAGCUGGUAGAGCAACUGACUUUUAAUCAGUAGGUCGCUGGUUCGAACCCAGCAGGGCUCACCA